rnacentral:rRNA from 1 species
GUGACCUCAAAUCAGGUAGGACUACCCGCUGAACUUAAGCAUAUCAAUAAGCGGAGGAAAAGAACUAACAAGGAUUCCCCUAGUAACUGCGAG